UACGUAGGGUGCAAGCGUUUGUCCGGAAUUAUUGGGCGUAAAGAGCUCGUAGGCGGCUUGUCGCGUCGAAUGUGAAAUCUCAGGGCUCAACUCUGACAUUGCAUUCGAUACGGGCAGGCUCGAGUUCGGUAGGGGAGACUGGAAUUCCGGGUGUAGCGGUGGAAUGCGUAGAGAUCCGGAAGAACACCGGUGGCGAAGGCGGCUACUCGUGGGACCGACACUGACGCUGAGGCGCGAAAGCGUGGGGAGCCAACAGGGAUUAAGAAACCCUGGU
rnacentral:rRNA from 1 species